UGGGGAAUUGUUCGCAAUGGGCGCAAGCCUGACGACGCAACGCCGCGUGGAGGUUGAAGGUCUUCGGAUUGUAAACUCCUGUUGCCCGGGACGAAAAGCUCCGACCUAACACGUUGGAGUCUGACGGUACCGGGUGAGGAAGCCCCGGCUAACUCUGUGCCAGCAGCCGCGGUAAUACAGAGGGGGCGAGCGUUGUUCGGAAUUACUGGGCGUAAAGGGCGCGUAGGUGGCCUGUUAAGUCGAACGUGAAAUCCCCGGGCUCAACCCGGGAACUGCGUCCGAGACUGGCAGGCUCGAAUCCGGGAGAGGGAUGUGGAAUUCCAGGUGUAGCGGUGAAAUGCGUAGAUAUCUGGAGGAACACCGGUGGCGAAGGCGGCAUCCUGGACCGGUAUUGACGCUGAGGCGCGAAAGCCAGGGGAGCAAACGGGAUUAGGUACCCCGGUAGUCCUGGCCCUAAACGAUGAAUGCGUUGGUGUGGCGGGUAUCGAUCCCUGCCGUGCCG
rnacentral:rRNA from 1 species